rnacentral:rRNA from 1 species
UACGAAGGGUACAAGCGUUAAUCGGAAUUACUGGGCGUAAAGCGUGCGUAUGCGGUUGGUUAAGUCUGUCGUGAAAGCCCUGGGCUCAACCUGGGAAUGGCGAUGGAUACUGGCCAGCUAGAGUGUGAUAGAGGAUGGCGGAAUUCCCGGUGUAGCGGUGAAAUGCGUAGAGAUCGGGAGGAACAUCCGUGGCGAAGGCGGCCAUCUGGAUCAACACUGACGCUGAGGCACGAAAGCGUGGGGAGCAAACAGG